rnacentral:rRNA from 1 species
GACGAACGCUGGCGGCGUGCCUAAUACAUGCAAGUAGAACGCACAGUUUAUACCGUAGCUUGCUACACCAUAGACUGUGAGUUGCGAACGGGUGAGUAACGCGUAGGUAACCUGCCUGGUAGCGGGGGAUAACUAUUGGAAACGAUAGCUAAUACCGCAUAAUAUUAAUUAUUGCAUGAUAAUUAAUUGAAAGGUGCAAUUGCACCACUACCAGAUGGACCUGCGUUGUAUUAGCUAGUAGGUGAGGUAACGGCUCACCUAGGCGACGAUACAUAGCCGACCUGAGAGGGUGAUCGGCCACACUGGGACUGAGACACGGCCCAGACUCCUACGGGAGGCAGCAGUAGGGAAUCUUCGGCAAUGGACGAAAGUCUGACCGAACAACGCCGCGUGAGUGAAGAAGGUUUUCGGAUCGUAAAGCUCUGUUGUAAGAGAAGAACGGGUGUGAGAGUGGAAAGUUCACACUGUGACGGUAUCUUACCAGAAAGGGACGGCUAACUACGG